rnacentral:rRNA from 1 species
CAGCCGCCGCGGUAACACGUAGGUGGCAAGCGUUGUCCGGAAUUAUUGGGCGUAAAGGGCUCGCAGGCGGUUUCUCAAGUCUGAUGCGAAAGCCCCCGGCUCAACCGGGGAGGGUCAUUGGAAACUGGGAAACUUGAGUGCAGAAGAGGAGAGUGGAAUUCCACGUGUAGCGGUGAAAUGCGUAGAGAUGUGGAGGAACACCAGUGGCGAAGGCGACUCUCUGGUCUGUAACUGACGCUGAGGAGCGAAAGCGUGGGGAGCGAACAGGAUUAGAUACCCCUGUAGUCCCUGUCUCUUAUAC